AUCCAAUAAACAAUUUGGUAUCUAAUUACAAAUAACUUGUUCUUGUAACGUCACUUUUUGUUAAAAAGUGUCGCCGUCACCGUUGUUGAAGGUGGUUUUCAUGAUCGAUUAAGUAAAUGGAAGUAAUCUUCUCCUCAACGACGGCAAGAGCAGUUCCUUCCUUACCGAUAACAAAAUCAGGAACUCGCGUUCGGAAUCCGUGUUUACCGUCCAUCUUGCGGCGUAACAACUUCGUGAAGUUAUCAUUUUAUCCAACAUGCAAUCGCAUUAACAAGAGUGCUCUCUUCAAGGUUUUAUCUGCUGAAAAGGAACAUGUUCAAGUUGUAGAGGAAAGUGGUGUUGAUGAGAUAUAUGAUGCAUUGGUUAAACGACUUCUGCCUUCAACGUCAGUGUCAUUAAAUCCUAAUUAUAAGUUGUUUGUUGGCCUGGCUGGUCCUCCUGGUGCUGGAAAAAGCACCAUAGCACAUGAAGUAGCAAAACGCAUAAACAAGCUUUGGCCAGAGAAAGCUUCUUCCUUUGACUCUGAGAUUCAACCUCCUGAUGUCGCUAUUGUGAUUCCCAUGGAUGGUUUUCAUCUUUAUCGUUCUGAACUAGAUGCAAUGAAGAAUCCGGAGGAAGCACAUGCCAGAAGGGGAGCUCCAUGGACAUUCAAUCCCAUGCGACUACUUACGUGUCUCAAGAAUCUAAGAGUUCAAGGAUCAGUUUAUGCACCAUCAUUUGACCAUGGUGUUGGGGAUCCAGUGGAAGAUGAUAUCUUUGUGAACCUUCAGCACAAAAUUAUUAUUGUAGAAGGUAACUAUUUGCUCCUAGACGAUGGGGUAUGGAAGGAGAUAUCAGCUUUGUUUGAUGAGAAAUGAUGUGAGCCUAUGACUGGUUGAAAACUCUCCAAUUCAGAUGAUCAUUAGCUUUUGCUUGUUUCAUGCUGGGAAUAUAUCACAUCAUUGUUGUGUUUAACAAGGUUUAUUGAUAUUGACAUUGACAAAGCAAUGCAGCGAGUUUUAAAGAGGCACAUAUCUACGGGCAAGCCUCCAGACAUUGCUAAGCAGCGGAUAGAGAACAACGACAGACUCAAUGCAGAACUUAUAAUGAAGUCCAAGAAAAAUGCUGAUAUAAUAAUCAAGUCAGUUGAUUUCUGAGGAAUCCGUUUGUGCCAAGUCAGAAUUCUUAUUUUUGGUGAAGCUAAGUCACAAUUCUAGAAACGUGUAAGGAUGACAAUGAAUAUUAGACUCAUUAAAUACCGCAAAAAUUAAGUAUGAUGGGUGGGAUGAUUAGCCGCUUUAUAUCCAUAAAUUUGAAUGGGUAGUAAGUAUAUGUAUACUCUGCCGUGAAACACAUGAAUGACCCACGAAAUACCAAAGAUGAGAUUCCUUAGUGAAAGAGGAGAUAUAUAUGAAUCAAUUUGCAAAUACCAUUUUCCUUAAAAA